rnacentral:rRNA from 1 species
CCUACGGGUGGCAGCAGUCGAGAAUCAUUCACAAUGGGCGAAACCCUGAUGCUGCGACGCCGCGUGAGGGAAUGAAGGUCUUCGGAUUGUAAACCCCUGUCAUGUGGGAGCAAAUUAAAAAGAUAGUACCACAAUAGGAAGAGACGGCUAACUCUGUGCCAGCAGCCGCGGUAAUACAGAGGUCUCAAGCGUUGUUCGGAAUCACUGGGCGUAAGGCGUGCGUAGGCUGUUUCGUAAGUCGUGUGUGAAAUGCGCGGGCUCAACCCGCGGACGGCACAUGAUACUGCGAGACUAGAGUAAUGGAGGGGUAACCGGAAUUCUCGGUGUAGCAGUGAAAUGCGUAGAUAUCGAGAGGAACACUCGUGGCGAAGGCGGGUUCCUGGACAUUAACUGACGCUGAGGCACGAAGGCCAGGGGAGCGAAAGGGAUUAGAUACCCCGGUAGUC